AGAAAGAGCCAGGCAUGUAUAGGCAGGAACCAGUAGAUACAGAGCCUGGGAGAUAAACCUGUGAAGGCAGGUGGGGGCUGUUCGUGGAAGCUCUUGAAUGUCAAGUGGAGACUGAUCUGAAUCCACUUAAGCAAAGAAAGAAAUUCACAAGCAACAGCAGGAAACUCCACCUUCCAUUCCCUCCUCAGGCCUGGCCUCCUGGUUCUCUGUUGGCCCAUGUACUCCUCUGCCAGGCAAAAUCUGCCAGACCCUCCCGGGGGAGCGGAGCUCCGAAUACCAGGGCCGACUCCGCUCCUGAGGCCGCUGAGCCCUCCUGCACCUGUCCGGCCCGGGAAGUGCCAUGGGACAGCUGAUCGCCAAGUUAAUGAGCAUCUUCGGGAACCAGGAGCACACGGUCAUCAUCGUGGGACUGGACAAUGAAGGAAAGACCACCAUUCUCUACCGGUUUGUGGUCUACAGACCAGUCACACAGGCAUCACCUGAAAGCUUAUUAGGAAUGCAAAACCAUGGCCGGGCGCUGUUGCUCUCAAAGUGCCUGUAAUCGCAGCACUUUGGGAGGCCGAGGCGGGCGGAUCACCUGAGAUCAGGAGUUCAAGAGCAGCCUGGCCAACAUGGUGAAACCUCGUCUCUACUAAAAAUACAACAACAACAACAACAA
rnacentral:lncRNA from 1 species